GGGGAUGUGGCUCAGUGGUAGAGUACUUGUCUAGCAGGCACAAGGCACCGGGGUUCCAUCCCCA
rnacentral:tRNA from 1 species